UACGGGGGGGGCAAGCGUUGUUCGGAAUUACUGGGCGUAAAGGCUCGUAGGCGGCCAACUAAGUCAUACGUGAAAUCCCCCGGCUUAACCGGGGAACUGCGUCUGAUACUGGAUGGCUUGAGUUCGGGAGAGGGAUGCGGAAUUCCAGGUGUAGCGGUGAAAUGCGUAGAUAUCUGGAGGAACACCGGUGGCGAAGGCGGCAUCCUGGACCGAUACUGACGCUGAGGAGCGAAAGCCAGGGGAGCAAAGCGGG
rnacentral:rRNA from 1 species